AUGAGCAAAUAUAUUGAUUAUGCUGUUUUUCAUUCUUGGUUGACAGUGUUCCACUGGUUGCCACAACUUGCUUUCUCUGCUGCUCUGUAAAGAAAAUCCAAACUCCCAAGUGAAGAUAUAUGGCGCCUGUCGGAGUGCUGAUCGAAGAGACAUUCUACACCUCAGUAUGUUUGCCAAGAUUCUACAUCAUUGGUAAAGAAUAAUGGAAGCAGUAGCUUUCAAAUUAACACAUUUGUAAAUGCCAUAGUAGGUAAUAGCCUUUGUCCGCUGCUUAACAAAUAGCAAAAGGUACGUUGUUGUUUCUGUAUUGGUUUUUCUCCCCUUUUUCUAACAUUGAGAAUAUCUUUACUCUUCAAAAGUUUCCGAUUUUUAGGAGUCGGUUGUUGUUUUAGCACAAUUCAAAAGUUCAGAUUUCUUUCUU
rnacentral:lncRNA from 1 species